rnacentral:siRNA from 1 species
UUUGGUGUGUUUACUUCUGAUC